rnacentral:rRNA from 1 species
UUGCUACUUUGCUGUCGAGCGGCGGACGGGUGAGUAAUGCUUGGGAACAUGCCUUGAGGUGGGGGACAACAGUUGGAAACGACUGCUAAUACCGCAUAAUGUCUACGGACCAAAGGGGGCUUCGGCUCUCGCCUUUAGAUUGGCCCAAGUGGGAUUAGCUAGUUGGUGAGGUAAUGGCUCACCAAGGCAACGAUCCCUAGCUGGUUUGAGAGGAUGAUCAGCCACACUGGGACUGAGACACGGCCCAGACUCCUACGGGAGGCAGCAGUGGGGAAUAUUGCACAAUGGGCGCAAGCCUGAUGCAGCCAUGCCGCGUGUGUGAAGAAGGCCUUCGGGUUGUAAAGCACUUUCAGUCAGGAGGAAAGGUUAGUAGUUAAUACCUGCUAGCUGUGACGUUACUGACAGAAGAAGCACCGGCUAACUCCGUGCCAGCAGCCGCGGUAAUACGGAGGGUGCGAGCGUUAAUCGGAAUUACUGGGCGUAAAGCGUACGCAGGCGGUUUGUUAAGCGAGAUGUGAAAGCCCC